CACGUAGGGCGCAAGCGUUGUCCGGAAUUAUUGGGCGUAAAGAGCUCGUAGGCGGUCUGUUGCGUCCGCUGUGAAAACCCGGGGCUUAACCCCGGGCGUGCAGUGGAUACGGGCCGGCUGGAGGCAGGCAGGGGAGAAUGGAAUUCCCGGUGUAGCGGUGAAAUGCGCAGAUAUCGGGAGGAACACCGGUGGCGAAGGCGGUUCUCUGGGCCUGUACUGACGCUGAGGAGCGAAAGCGUGGGGAGCGAACAGG
rnacentral:rRNA from 1 species